AGAACGAACGCUGGCGGCAUGCCUAACACAUGCAAGUCGAACGUGAUCCAGGCUUCGGCCUGGUGAAAGUGGCAGACGGGUGAGUAACGCGUGGGAACCUGCCCUGUGGUAGGGAAUAACCGUGGGAAACUGCGGCUAAUACCCUAUGAGUCCUUCGGGAGAAAGAUUUAUCGCCAUAGGAGGGGCCCGCGUCGGAUUAGGUAGUUGGUGGGGUAACGGCCUACCAAGCCUUCGAUCCGUAGCUGGUCUGAGAGGAUGAUCAGCCACACUGGGACUGAGAUACGGCCCAGACUCCUACGGGAGGCAGCAGUGGGGAAUAUUGGACAAUGGGGGCAACCCUGAUCCAGCAAUGCCGCGUGGAUGAUGAAGGCCUUCGGGUUGUAAAGUCCUUUCGGCGGGGAAGAUGAUGACGGUACCGCAGAAGAAGCCCGGCUAACUUCGCGCCAGCAGCCGC
rnacentral:rRNA from 1 species